CUGAUUGUCGAUGGAUGUGCGCGCGCGCAUGUGUGUGUGUGUUCUUUCUCGAUUACAUAGUUUGAUGCACUUCCUUUAAUCUUAUAUUGCAUUAGCUUAUAAUGCUAAUGAAGUUGGCAUCGACCAUUCUUUGUUUUGCUUUGGGCUAUUUUUCGCUAUAUGGUUUUCCAUUUGGGUCUAUCAAUGAAGGAAGUAUGGUAAUGUGCACAUAAAUUGAUUUGGGUCUCUAGGCCUGCUCUCUCUGAUGCCAUUUGGCUUUGAUUUGGGGGUAUUGUUCUACAACAAAACAUCUCUGUAGCUGCUCGGUUCUUAGAGGUUAGGGGGCCACUGUUUCAGUGGUAUUCUGAGAGCAGCCACUUUGUGCAUAUAUUGCCAAAGGUUAGGUCUAUCUCCAAUCAUCCCCCGCCCAUACCCCCAAUGAUUGGGGACUAGAUGGGUUAUGUUAUGUUGUUAUUGUUGUUGGUUUUCCAUUUGGGUCAAAGUUGUCAAGUGCAAUGAGUUUGUGUUUUGCUAGUGAUUGUACAUGACGUCCGUGAUCAACCUUCAUUGCAUAGUGCAACGUUGGGAGCUAGUCAUCACUUUAGUUUGAAUGAUUUAUCUUCGGAUUCUUUGAAUGGGCGGAACCCCGUAGAGGUUCUGGUUAUAUAUUGGGAUUGUGUCUUACUUAUAUGAUUGGAAAAAUAAUCGGGGGUUUGUUUGGGAAAGAUUUAGAACUGUCCGUAUGUCAGUGAUCACUUUGAAGUGUGAAUGAUUUGAUAUCAUUAAGAAACACUGUUUUUGAACAUCCUUGCUAAUACCCAAAAAAAAAAACUUGAGAGAGAGAGAGGAAUGAAGUUGCAUUAACUUCGAUAUGUGUGGAUGUUGGAAUUUGAUUGGUUACUCCACAUAAGUUGUGGUGUUAUGGCAUUACAGUAAUUGAAAAAACAUGGUUGGAGUAUAUUUCAUUAUGAUGGAAGCUAUUGUUGUAAUUGUAGGUUUUUGGGAUUGUGGACAACUUAUGUUCUUUCUUUUCUCUCGGUUUAGUUUCCAUUGAACCAAAACUACCGAGUAGUAAAAAUUGUGGAUGGGCAAAUCCAUGAAAACAGAAGAGAGCAUAAAUUGAAAAUGUCAAUGUGCAGUGAACUGUGCUCACAAAUUCGAGACAAACAUCUCACAUCAUAAGAGUCAAACACCAUUGGUUCUAGUCUAAGUAUGGCAGCUUGAAGUAUUGACAAGACAAUACGAGGAAUGGAGAGUAAACUUCUAACUGUACCAGGCUUAUGUUGGAAAACUACUGCAAUGUUGUUCAACUUCGGUUGUGGUUGGUUGAGUUUCUAGCUACUUCUAUAACUGCCAGUUGAUGAGGUUACAGUUGAUAAAUUCAUGAACCAUUUGAAAGUAAAGGUCCGUCGUUGCUGUUUUGAAGUCAGGCUCUCUUGAUCCUAAAGUAUUAGUUGUUUCUCCCUCUUUCUACUAUAAACAGCUACCCUUAAGCAUGUAGACUUUCGAAUGGAAGCUUGGACUUUGAACAUCCAGCUUUGUGUUUGACUAGUUAUUUGUCAAUAGUUAUUACUUACUCUUUAGUUGUUACUUUAAUCUUAAUUCUUCUCUUCCAAGUGUUCAUUUCGCACUCAAAUUUUGGGGGAGGUGAGGAGAUAUUUAAAAAAAAAAAAAAAGGAACCGACCAAUUUCGAGGCCCCUCUCUUCCGCCUUGGCACCUCUCUUCUGCCUGACUAGCGCCUAGGGACUUUUAGAACAUUGAAUGACCCAGCCAUUUUUUUUCUUAAGAGCCAGAAAUGAAAGACAGUUGGAACCAUGGAAUUCCAUUGUUUCCAGUAAACAACAUCAAAACAUUGUGAAACACACCAAAACGUAUCCUACCCA